rnacentral:rRNA from 1 species
CCUACGGGUGGCAGCAGUGGGGAAUAUUGCACAAUGGGGGAAACCCUGAUGCAGCGACGCCGCGUGAGUGAAGAAGUAUUUCGGUACGUAAAGCUCUAUCAGCAGGGAAGAAAAUGACGGUACCUGACUAAGAAUCCCCGUCUAACUACGUGCCAGCAGCCGCGGUAAUACGGAGGGGGCAAGCGUUAUCCGGAUUUACUGGGGGUAAAGGGAGCGUAGACGGCAGCGCAGGUCUGGAGUGAAAUCCCAUGGAUUAACCAUGGAACUGCUUUGGAAACUGUGCAGCUAGAGUGCAGGAGAGGUAAGCGGAAUUCGUAGUGUAGCGGUGAAAUGCGUAGAUAUUAGGAGGAACACCAGUGGCGAAGGCGGCUUACUGGACUGUAACUGACGUUGAGGCUCGAAAGCGUGGGGAGCAAACAGGAUUAGAUACCCCUGUAGUC